GAUGAACGCUGGCGGCGUGCUUAACACAUGCAAGUCGAACGGGAUCCAAGGGGUGCUUGCACUUUUUGGUGAGAGUGGCGAACGGGUGAGUAACACGUGAGUAACCUGUCCUUUUCUUUGGGAUAAGCAUUCGAAAGGGUGUUUAAUACCUUAUGUUCUGUCUGCCUCGCAUGGGGUGGGUGGGAAAGGCUUUGGCCGGAUUUGGGUGGGCUCGCGGUCUAUCAGCUUGUUGGUGGGGUGAUGGCUUACCAAGGCUUUGACGGGUAGCCGGCCGGAGAGGGUGGUCGGUCACAUUGGGACUGAGGGACGGUCCAGACGCCUGCGGGAGGCAGCAGUGGGGGAUAUUGGACAAUGGGCGAAAGCCUGAUGCAGCGACGCCGCGUGGGGGAUGAAGGCCUGCGGGUUGUAAACUUCUUUUGCUCUGAACAAGGCAUGCCAGUGGGUGUGUGGAGUGUAGGGGUUGAUUAGCGCCGGCUAACUACGUG
rnacentral:rRNA from 1 species